rnacentral:tRNA from 1 species
GCCUGGGUGGCUCAGUUGGUUAAGUGUCAGACUCUUGAUCUCAGGGUCGUGAGUUUAAGCCCCACACUGGGUU